GGAGAAAAGAGACAGUAUUUUACAGCAGUGGCAUAAAAAGAGAAAAGAAUCCAACAUGUACCUUUCACCUUGACAGAGGCAUUUCUGGAAGAAACUGACCCGUCCUGUAAUGACUGAACAUCUUAUGGGUCAAAGAUGGAUUUCAAACUCUGAGUCUCAAUCCAUUCCUUGGUCGGGAAUCAAUUGAAUGGGCAGAGACCAGCUUUUAUCCUCCCCCUUGUUUUGAUUACCAUCUAGGUGGGAAAGUGUGCCCACUGUAAGAAUAGUUGAAUUUUCAGAAGCUGGACACACCCAGGUCAAGAAGCAGAAGUGAAAUAGAUGAAUACUGGAGUACACUGCAUGUUAGAAGGCAGACCGGUGGCCACAUCACCCUACACGGGCAGCAGUCCCAGCCCCACAGGUUGGGAACCUACUCUGCAAAACAGCCACUCGGUAAAUAUUUGUUGAAUUAUUGAAUUCCAGACUCCAUCUCCCUGAGCAGGCCUGGGCCUGCAGCCCGAGCCGCCAGGGCGUGAGCCAGGUGUGCAGCGUUCUUCAGGCCUGAUCGAGCUUUGUGCUUUCACACCAGGUCGGGAGGCCCUCUGCAGGGGGCAGCACAGCGCAUGGGUGAGCACAGACUGGCAUUUGAAUCUUUUCCACCAGGGACUCGAUCUCUCUAAGCCUUAGCUUCCUCAUCUACAAAGUGGGGAGCCGAGGAACUGCCUUGUGGGGAAAUUUGUGAGGAUUAAACGAGAUACAGUACAAGGAUUCUGGCCCACAGAAACCUCUAAGCGAGGGUGAGCUGCCACCACCGCCAGCGAUGUGGGGUGGGGUG